GGCCUAAUACAUGCAAGUCGAGGGGUAACAGGAAGUGCUUGCACUUCGCUGACGACCGGCGCACGGGUGAGUAUCGCGUAUACAAUCUGCCUCAUACUAGGGAAUAGCCCGAAGAAAUUUGGAUUAAUGCCCCAUAGUAUCUUUUUAAGGCAUCUUAUUAAGAUUAAAGGUUACGGUAUGAGAUGAGUAUGCGUUCUAUUAGCUAGUAGGUGUGGUAACGGCACACCUAGGCUACGAUAGAUAGGGGCCCUGAGAGGGGGAUCCCCCACACUGGUACUGAGACACGGACCAGACUCCUACGGGAGGCAGCAGUAAGGAAUAUUGGACAAUGGGCGAAAGCCUGAUCCAGCCAUGCCGCGUGCAGGAUGACUGCCCUAUGGGUUGUAAACUGCUUUUAUAUAGGAAGAAAAAUUUUCUCGUGAGAAAACUUGACGGUACUAUAAGAAUAAGGAUCGGCUAACUCCGUGCCAGCAGCCGCGGUAAUACGGAGGAUCCAAGCGUUAUCCGGAAUCAUUGGGUUUAAAGGGUCCGUAGGUGGACAAAUAAGUCAGAGGUGAAAUCCUGCAGCUCAACUGUAGAACUGCCUUUGAUACUGUUUGUCUUGAGUUAUUAUGAAGUGGUUAGAAUGUGUAGUGUAGCGGUGAAAUGCAUAGAUAUUACACAGAAUACCGAUUGCGAAGGCAGAUCACUAAUAAUUAACUGACACUGAGGGACGAAAGCGUGGGUAGCGAACAGGAUUAGAUACCCUGGUAGUCCACGCCGUAAACGAUGGUCACUAGCUGUUUGGACUUCGGUCUGAGUGGCUAAGCGAAAGUGAUAAGUGACCCAC
rnacentral:rRNA from 1 species